rnacentral:rRNA from 1 species
AUUGAACGCUGGCGGCAGGCUUAACACAUGCAAGUCGAGCGAGCCGCGGAGGGGUGAGUAAUGUCUGGGUAACUGCCUGAUGGAGGGGGAUAACUUCUGGAAGGGGUAGCUAAUCCCGCAUACUAGCAGGUGCGCACAGAUGGGAUUAGCUAGUAGGUGGGGGAAUGGCUCACCUAGGCGACGAUCCCUAGCUGGUCUGAGAGGAUGAACAGCCACACUGGGACUGAGACACGGCCCAGACUCCUACGGGAGGCAGCAGUGGGGAAUAUUGCACAAUGGGCGCAAGCCUGAUGCAGCCAUGCCGCGUGUGUGAAGAAGGCCUUCGGGUUGUAAAGCACUUUCAGCGGGGAGGCGUUACUCGCAGAAGAAGCACCGGCUAACUCCGUGCCAGCAGCCGCGGUAAUUC